rnacentral:lncRNA from 1 species
AACAGAAAUUCUAAUACUAUAAUAGCAACACUUCAAAUAAUACUAGUUCUAUCCCUGCAGGAAGAGCAGGAACAUGUGAUCGGUCCAGCACUACGGUGAGCAGAGGGCGACGGCCACGUCUCCAGGACCCAGACUCCAGUGCCUGUCUAAGACUGGACUUAAUCAGACCAUAAGAGAAUGCUCCGCUCCCACACCCCACCACCAUGCUGACAAAACUCAGAGCACAUUGCAAGAAACAGAAAAUACUCGCAGAAAAAGAUAUAAAGAAUUCAGUCCUUACAAGUCAUCAGAAGAGCUACAAGAAUUGAAGUUACCACUCAAUAGUAAAUUCAAGAUCACAUCAUUAUGACGGCGAGUUAAAGAUCCGGAAUCUGCUGUUACUCUCUCUGCUGCACCACAAAUGUCUCUCACCUCCACGUAGCUGGCACCACCAACCAGGAGCUUGAAUACCUCCUGGCUUAGCAGGGCUCAGGUACUGUGUCUUAGGUGUAUAGCUUCCAGAAAGGAACUUACAUAAGAAAAAUGCUGCUUCUUAUUUACAAAAAUAAUUAACAUUCUGAGUUGUCAAUAAGUACUUGAU